AUGAAGUGUGACAUGCCCGUUUGGGUUAUUACUCUGAUGAAUUAUUUAUUAAUUAAUUGCUUUGGGAUAACGGGGUGUUACACACUUAA
rfam:Medicago truncatula strain A17 chromosome 1, whole genome shotgun sequence.